AGGGAACGCUGGCGGUAGGCCUAACACAUGCAAGUCGAACGGCAGCACAGUAAGAGCUUGCUCUUACGGGUGGCGAGUGGCGGACGGGUGAGGAAUACAUCGGAAUCUACUUUUUCGUGGGGGAUAACGUAGGGAAACUUACGCUAAUACCGCAUACGACCUACGGGUGAAAGCAGGGGAGCUUCGGACCUGGCGCGAGUGAAUGAGCCGAUGUCGGAUUAGCUAGUUGGCGGGGUAAAGGCCCACCAAGGCGACGAUCCGUAGCUGGUCUGAGAGGAUGAUCAGCCACACUGGAACUGAGACACGGUCCAGACUCCUACGGGAGGCAGCAGUGGGGCCUCUUGGCCGCUGGGCGCCCGCCUGCUCCCGCCCUCCCGCGUGGGUGAAGAAGGCCUUCGGGUUGUAAAGCCCUUUUGUUGGGAAAGAACAGCAGCAGGUUACUCCCCCGCUGUUCUGCCGGUCCCCCCCGAAUCCGCCCCGGCUCCCUUCGUG
rnacentral:rRNA from 1 species